GACGAACGCUGGCGGCGUGCCUAAUACAUGCAAGUCGAACGAGAGCGACCGGUGCUUGCACUGGUCAAUCUAGUGGCGAACGGGUGAGUAACACGUGGGUAACCUGCCCAUCAGAGGGGGAUAACAUUCGGAAACGGAUGCUAAAACCGCAUAGGUCCUUUAACCGCAUGGUUGAAGGAGGAAAAGAGGCGCAAGCUUCUGCUGAUGGAUGGACCCGCGGUGCAUUAGCUAGUUGGUGAGGUAACGGCUCACCAAGGCCGUGAUGCAUAGCCGACCUGAGAGGGUGAUCGGCCACAUUGGGACUGAGACACGGCCCAAACUCCUACGGGAGGCAGCAGUAGGGAAUCUUCCGCAAUGGACGCAAGUCUGACGGAGCAACGCCGCGUGAGUGAAGAAGGUUUUCGGAUCGUAAAACUCUGUUGUUAGAGAAGAACAAGUGCUAGAGUAACUGUUAGCACCUUGACGGUAUCUAACCAGAAAGC
rnacentral:rRNA from 1 species